rnacentral:rRNA from 1 species
AGAGUUUGAUCAUGGCUCAGGAUGAACGCUAGCUACAGGCUUAACACAUGCAAGUCGAGGGGAAACGACAUCGAAAGCUUGCUUUUGAUGGGCGUCGACCGGCGCACGGGUGAGUAACGCGUAUCCAACCUGCCCACCACUUGGGGAUAACCUUGCGAAAGUAAGACUAAUACCCAAUGACGUCUCUAGAAGACAUCUGAAAGAGAUUAAAGAUUUAUCGGUGAUGGAUGGGGAUGCGUCUGAUUAGCUUGUUGGCGGGGUUAACGGCCCACCAAAGGCGACGAUCAGUAGGGGUUCUGAGAGGAAGGUCCCCCAGAUUGGAACUGAGACACGGUCCAAACGUCCUACGGGAGCA